rnacentral:rRNA from 1 species
UACGUAGGGUGCAAGCGUUAAUCGGAAUUACUGGGCGUAAAGCGUGCGCAGGCGGUUUUGUAAGUCUGUCGUGAAAUCCCCGGGCUUAACCUGGGAAUUGCGAUGGAGACUGCAAGGCUAGAAUCUGGCAGAGGGGGGUAGAAUUCCACGUGUAGCAGUGAAAUGCGUAGAGAUGUGGAGGAACACCGAUGGCGAAGGCAGCCCCCUGGGUCAAGAUUGACGCUCAUGCACGAAAGGCGUGGGGAGCAAACGAAGGAU